UACGAAGGGGGCUAGCGUUGUUCGGAUUUACUGGGCGUAAAGCGCGCGUAGGCGGAUCGUUAAGUCGGGGGUGAAAUCCUGGAGCUCAACUCCAGAACUGCCUUCGAUACUGGCGAUCUCGAGUCCGGAAGAGGUGAGUGGAACUCCUAGUGUAGAGGUGGAAUUCGUAGAUAUUAGGAAGAACACCAGUGGCGAAGGCGGCUCACUGGUCCGGUACUGACGCUGAGGUGCGAAAGGCGUGGGGAGCAAACAGG
rnacentral:rRNA from 1 species